rnacentral:lncRNA from 1 species
CUUCCACCAGAAUGUCAUCCCCAUGAUGGCAGGGACCAUGUCACAUUUUUAACCUUUGCAUUUUCAGCCUGAGAUCCCUCGAAACAUUAUUUCCUUCUAUCUCCAGUCUGCAUUCAAAGUGCCUCACUUCAAGCCCUCUCUUGCCAUCAGCCUGAAUCUCUGGGUUCGCCUGCCCUUGUGCCCACCAUUCUGCAAGAGCUGGGCUCAGAAUAAUCCUCCUGAAUUUGCCCCUCCUAUUACUGGAAUUCUGAGCACCACUGAGAAAAUACAACAACUGUGAAGAUUAUGCCAAAGAACGGGGAAUAUGUGAUUGGUACACAAAAGACACACAGAAUUCUUGGUUACAAACAACAGAGGACACUCCAGUUUGUUGAAAUAGAAGGGAUUUUUGGUAGCUCACCAAUCUGCAGGAGGGCUAGAGAAUCCAGCCAGGAACAAUGGAGGUAGGAAAAAUGCCCAGUUCAUACCACAGACAGUUCCAAUAAACCACCGCGGCUGCAGCCCAAAAUUUAGCACUGAGCAUGCUUAGAUGUGAACACCACAACUUCUACCACAGCGAUUCCAGAGGAACCAGCCUCCAAGUCCACUGUGCCUGUCAGAAGAUGUAUUCUCUCUCUAAGGCCACAGCCUCAAGUUUCUCAUUUUAAUAUUCAAGUCUCCUUCAGGGCCAUCUGAUUGGUGGCACCUAGGUCACAUGGCUGCAUUGUAGUUGCAUGGCAGUAUGGAAGUAUAACUUUUAGCUUUUCAGCUUCUUUAGUGGAAGAAGACAAGUUGGAAGAGGGUUGACAUGAGUGUUGAAUGAGUUCUUGUGCAAGGUAGGUUACGAUACCCAAUUAGUAUUUGUUGGAUUUCCUUCACUGUAACUAGGAUUUAUUUUCUUAUUUGAAGCUAUAUUCUCAUGCACUAGAGUAAAAAGAAAAAAUGGAUAUUUUCUUAAAAACCAAUUCUGAUUGCUUGUUAGUAGCUGGCUUUCCCAUGCUCAGUGGGAGAAUGUUAUGAUUGAUUGGUGAUCUCUUCCUAAUAUACUGAGGGAUCACUAGUGCUCUAAACAUAUAAGUUUGAUAAAACUUCACUGGGGCAAGAAUGGGCAUGACUGCACAGUAUUUAUCAAUGUAAGGGGCGCAUACUUUUGGUUUGCUUCUUACAUACACUUGCAGUUUAGCAUCAGGGAGCCUUGAAGGUCAAUGUGUUACACCAGAAGGGUUGUUAUGGGAUGCCAAAAUUGUCUUAAUUCCACUUCAAUAAUACUUAGCAUGAAGACAAGCGUCACUGGCAAAGUCAAAGAUUUUAUUACAAAAUGGCCACUCAGCGUGGAAGAUAGUGAGAAACCAGGCAACUCUCCAAAGAGACGAGGUCUUCCAUCUAUGGUGCUUUUCCAGAAAAUGGCCAUGUCAGGUGCCGGCCCUUCAGGUUGAAUAAAUAAUGUGCAUCCUCUGGAGAUUCAAUACACUACUAAGUGCACUAGAAGGUUUUCCAAAGAUGCCUUCAAAAAACAUUUCAAAUAGUGCUUCCAUAAGUAUCUUUCACAUUUAUAGAUAACUUGACACAAAACCUCUAUUUCCUUUGGAUAUUUGUUUUGUGGGCAAUGGGUGAACAGAAAGGUAGGCAUGUUUGUGUGGAGGAGGGGCGGGGAGGAAGGACAUGCUGCAUUUGGGAACAAAUAAGAGUGCUGUAGGAAAAAGUGUAGUUAGGAUAUGUAUGAUCUAUGUGUGUCUUUAAAAAAAUCACACACAAAUAUUCAUUCCCUAAAACAAUGUUCACCUGCUGUCCCUUGGAUGACUUCAGCUUAAUUUCACACUUAAUAAUCUUAAACAUUAGAGUGCUUAAUUACAGCAGUUACUGCUGAUUGCUUUGGAAAUGAAAAAUGGAUAUCUAAUAUAAAGUCAUUAAUAUUAUACUUGAUGGAUUGGUGUUAUUAUUCAUAAUAAUCCAGACUCUUGGGCCCUCAUCUGAUGUUUUUUCUUUUUUUGAGGAAGAUUAGCCCUGAGCUAACAUCUGUGCCCAUCUUCCUCCAUUUUUUUCUACGUGGGAUGCCUGCCACAGCACGGCUUGAUAAGCAGUGUGCAGGUCCACGCCCGGG